rnacentral:rRNA from 1 species
GAUGAACGCUAGCGGCAGGCCUAACACAUGCAAGUCGAGGGAGAAGCCCUUUCGGGGGCAGAAACCGGCGCACGGGUGCGUAACGCGUAUGCAACCUACCUUUCACAGGGGGAUAGCCCGAAGAACUUUGGAUUAAUACCCCAUAAUAUUAUUGGAUGGCAUCAUUUGAUAAUUAAAACUGCGGUGGUGAAAGAUGGGCAUGCGUCCUAUUAGCUAGUUGGAGUGGUAACGGCAGCCCAAGGCUACGAUAGGUAGGGGUCCUGAGAGGGAGAUCCCCCACACUGGGACUGAGAAAAGGACCAGACUCCUACGGGAGGCAGCAGUGAGGAAGAUUGGACAAUGGUCGGAAGACUGAACCGGCCAUGCCGCGUGCAGGAAGAAUGCCUUAUGGGUGGUAGACUGCUGUUAGAUGGGAAGAAUAAGGCGUACGUGUACGUUGAUGACGGUACCAUAUGAAUAAGCAUCGGCUAACUCCGUG